rnacentral:rRNA from 1 species
AUUGAACGCUGGCGGCAUGCUUUACACAUGCAAGUCGAACGGCAACGAGGAGAAGCUUGCUUCUCUGUCGGCGAGUGGCGAACGGGUGAGUAUAGCAUCGGAACGUGCCAAGUAGUGGGGGAUAACCAAACGAAAGUUUGGCUAAUACCGCGUAAGCUCCAAGGAGGAAAGUAGGGGACCUAAAUAAGGCCUUACGCUAUUUGAUCGGCCGAUGUCGGAUUAGCUAGUUGGUGGGGUAAUGGCUCACCAAGGCAAUGAUCCGUAGCUGGUCUGAGAGGACGAUCCGCCACACUGGGACUGAGACACGGCCCAGACUCCUACGGGAGGCAGCAGUGGGGAAUUUUGGACAAUGGGGGAAACCCUGAUCCAGCCAUGCCGCGUGUAUGAAGAAGGCCUUAGGGUUGUAAAGUACUUUUGUUAGGGAAGAAAAGCUAGUUUUUAAUAAAAAUUAGUGAUGACGGUACCUAAAGAAUAAGCACCGGCUAACUACGUG